UGCACUCGGCUUCUAGCCUUGGCGUUUGGAGGAGAAGCAUCUGUCCCAGAUGGAUAAUGGUUAAGGAACAAUCUGAAAUUCAAUUCAAAAAGAAGAUAGAAGAUAGUAGGUAAAAGUCUGCAGAUUUAUCCACCCAAGAUAAUUUUGGUGUGAGAAAAUUUAAUGUGAAAUCAUCG